rnacentral:rRNA from 1 species
CCUACGGGAGGCAGCAGUGAGGAAUAUUGGUCAAUGGGCGUAAGCCUGAACCAGCCAAGUCGCGUGAGGGAUGAAGGUUCUAUGGAUCGUAAACCUCUUUUAUAAGGGAAUAAAGUGUGGGACGUGUCCUAUUUUGUAUGUACCUUAUGAAUAAGGAUCGGCUAACUCCGUGCCAGCAGCCGCGGUAAUACGGAGGAUCCGAGCGUUAUCCGGAUUUAUUGGGUUUAAAGGGUGCGUAGGCGGCCUUUUAAGUCAGCGGUGAAAGUCUGUGGCUCAACCAUAGCAUUGCCGUUGAAACUGGAGGGCUGGAGUGUGUUUGAGGGAGGCGGAAGGCGUGGUGUAGCGGUGAAAUGCUUAGAUAUCACGCAGAACCCCGAUUGCGAAGGCAGCCUGCCAAGCCGUGACUGACGCUGAUGCACGAAAGCGUGGGGAUCAAACAGGAUUAGAUACCCCUGUAGUC